UCCCGCUUCGUCUAAUGGUAGGACAGCGCCCUUUGAAGGCGUGAAUCGUGGUUUCGAAUCCAUGAGCGGGAACCA
rnacentral:tRNA from 2 species